AUGCCCGUAGCGUCGUGCCGCGCGGCAGCUCGAGCCCGCUGCCGUCUCCUGCUGAAGCGGGGCGUUGGCGUUGGCGUUGACGCCCUCCAUAGGGGCGCUCGGACCGGCCACAAGCCAUCGGUCGAGCACCUUGUUCACAGAUGGCGCACGCGCAGCAACGCCAAGGCCGUGCCUGUGGGCGUGGCGAGCACCAGGAGCGACGCGUCUGUCGACGCCGUGGCCGCGUCCAGCAGCACGGUGACCACCACGGGCUCCACGUCUAGUGGCGCGGUGACCAUAACGGCCAGCGGUGCAACGGCCGAAACAACCAACGGCCUGCAUCCUGCGACGGAAGCGCCGGAGGCCACCAACGUCAUGGUAGUGAUGACGGUAACGACGACCGUCCUCACGGAUCAGGCGGAGAAAGAAGAAAACAAGGCCACGCAUCUCACCGGCGGCGAGUGCUCCCUCUCUUCUCCUUUCUCUGUUGCCUUUUUCGCUCUCGCUGGCUGUUCUACGUGCGUGAUAACGUGUUUCGAAUCAAAAGUGGUCGAGAGUCUUGAUCGAUGGUUACAGACCCCUUUUAUAUGUCCCGAAGAGACACGACGAUCCAUCGCAAGGGGGCAUCGGUUCCAAGGAAUCGAAGGGAGGCGUCGGUUGUGGGACAAACCGCAACGACGGUUUGGGCAAGGGGAGAUUUUCUCCUAA
rnacentral:rRNA from 1 species